GGGGAGAGAGGUGUGGAAGCUGAUUUGCUGGGGCCACCCAGUGUGGGCUCAGGAAGGAAAGGAAUGUAACUGAGGCUGGGUGUGGCUGGGGAGAGCACAGCCAGCUAUGGGUUUUUCUUGGGGCCCAGAUAGAUGUGAGCAGAGCUGGAGGCCCCUCUCUCCCAGCCCCCAGCGCACACACACUAGGACCUUUCUUCA
rnacentral:lncRNA from 1 species